rnacentral:lncRNA from 1 species
CCAUAAUGUGUUUAUCAGGCUUAAAACUUGAACAUAUUAGAUUAAUGUAUAACACCAUACUAUUCCAUUCAUUUCAGUAUACAUACACACAUCGACCUGUAAACUGUAUAAACAAAAUGAAGCUAGAAUGUCAAAAAUGUAAAUCAGUAAACUGCUUGUGAUUAACACACAGGGAUAUAUCGCUUUCAGUAAGGUUCCAAUCUGCAAAGAAUGCUACAGCUUUCAUAUCAAAUCAGAAUCAAUAUGAACUGAUUAUAAGUGGAUACUUUCGGUAUUCAUAGCAAGUUACAAGCUCCCAGGAAAACAUUAUAUCUACCAUAAUAUAGCUGUUUGACUGAACAAACCCUUACAAGAACUAAGUAAAUAACAACAUAUUCGAAAACAACAGAUUAGAUAUUGUUCCAAAGACUAAGACAACUGGAAGCAGUUUGACCUUAAUUACUAGUUUGACCUUGUGGAACUGGAAAUAGAAGUAUUUUGAAUAGCGACUUGCCUAAAAUCAAUCCCUUGCUACUUUGGAAAAAAAGCUAGUCCUGAAUUCUCACUGGUGACUUAUAGAUCAUAUAAUCAGAAGAUGAUUAUACUCGGUAUAGUUUGGAUUUACCUCAUAUUUUCUUCUAUGUAUGCACCAAUGUCAAAAUCUGAAAUGCUUUCUUUCCCAUAUUAUAGAGUAUAAACAAAGAAACUAAAAUAUCCACAAGAACUACAUACGAAUCACAUCACCUUCCUCAACUCCUUUCAAAUCUAAUGACUCUAAUCCCAUCAGCAAAAUUUAUAUACACAUAACAUAACUCCCAGAAUUAAAAUUUAAAUGUUUAUAUCUUCAUUGUACUAAGCAACAAUUAAAUUCUAGGUCAAAUAAGACUCCGAACCACAGACUGAGGAUUUAUUCAUUCUCCAUCUAAAGUAAUUUUCAAUAAAUCAAAAGACGAAUCAACUGGUCACAAAUUAGAAUUUCAUCAUACACAGAUGAACAAGCAAACAUAAAAUUACUUCGGGAAAAAAAAGGUAGUACAUACCAAACCAUAACGAAAUCGACAAGAACAAUUCAUCACCACCAAAUGAGAACUUAAGAAUUUGAAGAUUUACAUACCAGCAAUCCUCUUCACGAAUUCGGCAAACCAAAUAACGUAAUUCAAAGGGAAUUUGCCACGAUUAGCUUCACUUCUUUCCAUUCUUUUGUGGUUUGAGGAAUGGAGAUUGAUUUUCCUUACCACCGUACAAUAACUCUAAAGUUUGCGACUUUAAAGUUUGUUGGAACACAGAAGUAUAUAAAGAGUGAGAUGGAUGGGUCUGGGAUGACGUCAGCGCGUUGAUGGAGGUUAAAAGAAAUAGAAUAGUAUAAGGAGUAUGUUUGUAAAUACCUAGGUUGCACGGAGACGGGUACGGGAACAUAUACGGGUACGGGGACGGGGACAUAAAACGACAAUUUUAAAUUUAAAGGGUACGGGGACGGCACAUAAUAUAUUAAUAAAAAAUUAAAUUUUUUAUAUAAAUAGGACAGAUGCAACUUUCUCAAAUAUUAAUAUCACCGGAGAUCAACUCAUUCUCCAUUUCAGGCUCACAAAGGAGGUUGAUUGUUAGAUCCACUUCCACUUUCAGCAUGUCCAGAUCCAAAACCACUACUUUCAUGUUGUGAUUCCAUUGAAAACUAAUGAGUUAUGUUUAUUUGUUUGAGAGAGAAAGUAGUUUGAGAAGAGUUAUGAUUGUAUGCAUAUAUGAAGAACGUGUGUAUAAUGUAUAUAACUUGAAUAGAAGCCGUUGAGUUAGGGUUUUCUAUGUUAUGUUUAAUUGGGGACGGGUAUCUUUAUCAUUUUACUCCAAGAAACAUCCCCAAUUUUAACCUGCUGUCCCCAGCUUUUUGGGGACGUCCCCAAGCCGUCCCCAUGCCGUCCCCGUCCCCGAUACGUCCCCAAACUGCGGUACUCCACCUAGUAGGCGUCCCCGUGCAACAUAGGUAAAUACUGGGGGUGGGCUUCAUAUAUACAAAUUUAUCCUAAGGAAAUUGUAAUUGGGCAUAAAAUAAAUUUUAUUUCAAAGUUGUAGCUCAUAUAUGAAGUAAAAUAAAGUAAUUAAAAUAUACUCACUCCAUCCCAUAAAGCAUGAGCUAAUCAAUUUUACGCACAUUUAAAAAAUUUGAGUAUGACUAUUUGAUAUGUAUUCACAAAAGAUGAGUUAGUGAAUGAUGACUAAGCAUUUACGUGAACAUGUGGUUAUAGCUAUCUUAAAACAUACUAUGUGGGUGUUUGGGCGGGGCUUUUAAGCCCCACUUCUAGAGUUUUAAGUUAGAAGCACUUAUUCGUACCGUUUGUGUAAAAAGUCGAGAAACACUUAUAAAAAAGUUAGGAUUUUGUUUCAUGACUUCUACUUUUUUCCCAAACACUUUAAUCACUUAUAAGUCUUGACUAACUUCUACUUCACCUUUUUUUACUUUAAGCAGAAAACACUUAUUUUAAGUUCACCCAAACAGCCCCUAUAUAAAGUUAGGUACAUUCUUCUCGGGACAUCCUAAAAAAGAAAGUGGGCCAAACAAAAUGGGAGAGGAAGUAUUAUUUAAAUAUAAUUUAUAUUCAAAAUAUAGUUUCCAGUAUUUUAUUCAUUAUUAUGUAUUUCUCUUUGCCCAUUGCACUUCUUUUUGUUAAAACCAGAAAACAUUUGUUCAAUUUAGCUUGACCAUUUUACUAUUAUCAGUAUCUAUAUAGUAUAUUAUAUAAAUGAAAAUUUCCAUACAAUAUAUACAUAGCACUAUUUCCGGAAUCUAAUAUUUAGUGGUCACAAUCGUAAUGUGUCUAGUCAGUAGCUAACUAACAUAUUCAGUGGUGUCACGGAAGAAAUUUGCAACAUCCCACGUCACUAAGUUAUAUCAAUGCCUUUAUUAGCACAAACUUACAACUAAUAUUGUAUCGGAAUUGAUAGCUCUUUUGUAUCAACUUAUAGUUGGUUGUUGAAUGAUGUAGUAUGUGUGGCUUGGACUAUAACAAAUUUUGUUCGAGGUUGACCCUGCCAAAAGUGCUUUAAAGGACUUCUUUAGUUUUUGGGCUCGACGAGGACGUUGAACUUAUAUAAUGUGGAAAACUGUAGCAUCCCAUAGUUGGUAAGUCUGGACGCAUUUAUAAAUGUUGGAGAAAAGUCGCUAGCUCUUUUGGUUUGGUCUGUGGUGAGUUGUUGAACCAUCUCCUUCACUUUGGCUUGGGGUGAUACACAAUUAAUGUAUUAUAGAAUUUUGUUAUAAUUAUGUAUUUCUUUAUAUAUAUUCAAGUUGAUUGAAAUUAUUAAAUUAAAUGGUACGAUGUAUAAACCUUCAUAAGCUAUAACUUUAAUAUAAUAGACGUACUUGACUACGUCUAGACAUAUAAAUUUAUGACAAAAAUCUAAUUUAUUAUAAGACAUGAUUAUAAUAGAACCUCAAGUACAUAGAUCCGCCAAUUUGGUAUACAACAGAAAAAAAAUGACACGAGAAAUAUGGAUAUGGAUUCACCAUUUUGUUAUACGAAUACGAAAGUAUACAGUUAUAAAAUUGGACCUUUAGGAAAAUCCCUUUAUAUUUUGAUGUGUUCAGGUCAGAACUCUCAGGUGCAUUGCCUAAAUGCACAUAAGUUUUGACCUGAACACGUCAAAAUAUAGAGGGAUAUUUCUAAUGGUCCAUUUUAUGAUCGGGUACUUUCGUAUUCGUAUAUCGAAAUGGUAAUCUUUAUCCAUAUUUUUCGUGUCAUUUUCCUUUUGUGUUGUCUAGCAAAUUAAUGGCUUUAUGUAUUUUCGGUUUUUAUUAUAAUUAUGUCUUCUAAAUAAUUAUAUUUUUUUCUCAUAAAUUGAUAUGUGUAGUCAAGCAGGUCUACUAUAUUAAUGUAGUAGCUUCAGAAGGUUAAUACAUUUUAUUAUUUAACUUAAAUAAUUUUUCACUCAACUUGAACUUAUAUAUAUAUGUAUGUAUGCAUGUAUGUAUGUAUCUUUGUGUGUAAUUACAAUAAAAUUAUAUAAUACAUUAAUUGUAUAACACCCUAAUCCUACGAGAAACAAAUGGUUCAACAACUCACCACAGAGCAAUCCAAAAAAGCUAGCGACUUUGCUACAACGUUUAUAAAAGCGUCCAAACUUACCUACCGUAGGAUGUUAUAGUUUUUCCACACAAUUAGUUUGACGUCCUCGUGGGGCCCAAACGCCGAAGAUAUUUUGUGAAGCACUUUUGGCAGGGUCAAGCUCUGACAAAAUCCAUUACAGUCCAAGCUAAUAUACUACAUCAUUCAACAACCCACUAUAAGCUGAUCCAAAAGAGAUAUCAAUCCCGGUGCAGUAUUAGUUAUAAGAAGCUUUCUAAAAGUCGGCGUUUAAUCGGGAUUAAUUGUUGUUCGGUCGGCCACAGUCUCGAUUAAGCGUUAAUCAGUGAAAAAAUCAUUUUUUCCUCAAAAUCGGUCAAAAACGAGAUUAACCGGUUAAAAGACGGGAUUAAUCCGAAAAAAUUGGUGUAUUUAAAAAUUUUAAAAAUACAAAGUAAUUUUUUUAAAAAUUAUAAAUUAUUUUCUAAUAAAAUGAAAGGCACAAUGACAAUCAUAGAAGUUAAAAUUGUUUUAUUUACCUUUCACUUUUCAAAUAUUAGCCUCUAAACUCUAAUUACAAAAAUCUUCAAAAUCUUCCUUCGUAGAUUUAAUCAAAUUCAAAUUUAUAUAUGAGAUGAUUGGACUUGUAUGUAUAUAUAGGAACGUUUUGUGUAAUAAAAAAUCAUUAAUCUUUCAAUUUUAUAAGACUAUAAAUUUAUAGUAUAUAUAAUUAUAUUAAUAUAUAUAUAAUUUAAAAAAUAAUAUUAAAUUGAUUACUAUUAAUGCUCCAAUUAAUCACUCUGAUUAAUCCAUGAUUAUCCGAUUAAUCGUUGGACAGUGGCUUCACCGACUACGUCCGAUUCCCGCUUUUAACAACACUGGUUAUAAGUUGUGCUCAUAAAGGCAUUAAUAUAACAUCCCUAACUUAGUGACAUGGGAUGUAACAAACUUUCUCAGUGACACCGCAAAAUAUGUUACUUAGCUCUUGUGAUUCCUAUAUAGCCCUUAUGGAUAUUUUAAUUUCCUUUUUUGUACUUCGUAAUACGGGAAAGAAAGUAGUUCCGAUUUUGGCAUUGGGGCUUACAUAAAAGAAAAUAUGAGGCAAAUCCAAACUAUACCGAGUAUAAUCAUCUUCCGAUUAUAUGAUUUUCGAAAUCCUUUUUCCUUUAGGUAAAAAAGGUAAAUUUAUUAAAUGACGAUGUUUAGGAUAAAGUCAUGCAUCAUUGAGAAACAUUGGCACUUGAUAACAUUAUUGGUGAAAUUAUUUGUUUUCCCAUUUUAUGUGAAUAAGAUGCAUUUAUAAAUCACCAAUGAGAAUUCAUGACUAAGUUUUACUCCAAGGUAGCAAAGGAUUGAUUUUAGGUAAGUCACCAUUUAACAUACUUCUAUUUGUAUAGGAUGUAAGGAACGGAAUGGUGGAAGGAAUGAAAUUUUUGAACAACUUUUCAUAAUAUAGUUCAAAUUUCAUUCCAUUCCUUCGAGAUUCAUUCACCCAACCAAACACAAUAUUAUAGACAACUUCACGAAUUUAAAUGGCUUUGUACUGAAGUACUAUAUAAGAUAGGCACCUCUGAUCUUAGUAAUAUGUUGCACGAAAGAAAGAUAACAUAUCAGUAUAUACCACAGAUCACCAACUUUGUACCUGACAGAAACAGAGAGUAAUUGAAGUAAACCUGCCAAGUUUACUUGAGCAGCUCCAGUUAUCCAUCAUCUUCCUGUGGAGUACUGUAAUAACAAACAGUGUCAUUCAAAAAGUAUAUUUGGAAAAACUUGUAAUAAAUCCUAUCAAUUAAGCACAAGAAACAGAUGUUUCUAAACAUAAUUGGGUGGCACUUUAUAUUACAUGGACUCAAUGUAAUAACUAACAAAAAUUAUAUAACUCCAUCACAAGGAUGUAGGACACAAUAUGCUAGUGUCUGAGUUAACUUUAUUUGCAACAGAUAUUCUGCACUGUUUCACACAGUGAACAUGAUUAAUCCCACCAAAAAAGUACCUGUGUUCUAAAUAAAGAACUUAGAGAAUUUCAGACAAUGAUACAAAAGUUCUGCUUUUCUUGCUGAGGCUUCAACUUUGUUCACAUUGUAAUUACAUAAGUGAAUAUAUAAAUUCUCCAUCCAUUACCUAGUACCUACUCUGCAUGAGUUUCUGUAAAUGCUUUGCCGAUUCACAUCUGGAGUUCCAAUCAACGCCGUCUGAACAAACAAAUCAGACCCAAAACCUCUGAUCAUCAGUAUCUAAAGUAUCCGGUGGUUGGGGACUUGUUUCAAGCAGGUGGCGGGAAUACGAGAUCUCAUCAGUGACCUAAUAGCUUGGUUAGGAAAACAACGUUGAUAUCUGAAGCGGCUUUGACGAUUAAAGCAGGGAUUUGGAGAAAAUGGUUGUGGGCAGUAAUUACUUUAUGAUUAGUUUAUAGAUUCUAUGAAAAAAAAUUGAAUCCACGUAUUUUUUGCACCCAAAUUUUUUUGCCAAAGACAAGUGUUCUACGUUAAGGUAGAGAACCUGCAUAGAUGAUUGACAAGAUUGAAUUUGGAGCCGGAAAGGUUUGUUCAACUUAUUAAAGAGGGUCUUGUCAUUCUUGAUCAUAAGUUCGACUGGGGAGGGAUGGUUGUAUGCUCUUGGUCAUAGUCAUAUAGGUUCGAUUUCCGAAAGCAGAAGAAUAGCCGGUUCACAUGGAUUUAUCCCGUGCAUACCCAAAAGAUAGCGGCUGCUACUUCUUCCGUUAAAAAAAAAAUAUUCUGGAACCCAAAUUUCAUAAUCAAAGAUAACUUCGAAUGAGUAGUACACACAAUUAAUUUUAAUUUUUUAAACAUAUUUUAUGAUAAUUUAUUGCGUCUUCUAAGUUCUAAUUUCACAUUCAUCUCGAACAACAAUUUCAAAUUUUUGUCAAAUCAGAAUCAACAUUAACAUCAUAUCUUCCCUGAAGAUUAUUUUUUGCAACUUCAUGGGUUUAUAUCAUGGGUAUAUGACUGAAUUGGUUUCAGCCGCAUUGCUUGUUAAUGAACCUCGUUGAAUUGAUUUAUAUCAUCAACCCAUGAAGUUUCAUCAUCUAAACUGAAGCGCCCACAAGUUUCCUCAUUUCUUUCUAUCCAUAUUCCCCAUGUUAUAACCACUACAUUAGCAAAGGUGUCCUUUUCUAACAUCUCAGAUAUACAUAUAAAAGAGUACACAUGUAAAACAAAAAUACUAAACAAACGCAUGAACUAAAAAUUAAUUACUACAAAAAUAAAUAAUUACACAAAAUACAAAUAAAAAAGCAGAAACCAAAUAAAUAUUCGGAAGAGAUGAUUCAAAACUUUUUUGUCAAUUACAAAACUAAUUUUUCUGAGUCAUAAAGCCUGGAUGAUGACCUUGUGACAGACAUAGCUAACGAUGCCUCUCAUCAUUCAUGUCAAUGACAAUCUUAUGCAAGAUGCGGCAAGCCGUGGUCAUAUUUUGACGCUUCUCUUGUAAGAACCUUCCGUUCUUCCUCUAGCCUAUCCACUGCCUCAGCAGUCCUUAUUUCCUUAGUGGCAGUGGCUGGCCCAUGGAGGUGGCGAAGGCCAUUUUCUACCAAGGCCUCCACAAAGGACCGUGUGACCUUAUCAGCAGUAAAUGAGUGCUUACCAAUUUCCUUACCGAUUGAGUUCAGUGACUUGCCAAAUUUAAGCCUUCUCAUCGCUAUGGCUACUUUAUCAACCACGGUCAAUUCUCUGUUAUCGUUAAAUUUGCAUAUGUGUGAAUUGGACAUUGGCUCCAUCACAAGAGAGCAUAAGUAUACGAAGGUUCUCAUUGAGAUCCCACAGUAUUUUUCGACUCCAGUCGAGUCUUCCGAGAGGAAAAUGUCCUGCAAAGAAGGGAAGAUGAUGCAUUUUUAUAUAUACGACUAAGAAACUGCCAUAAUGUGUUUAUCAUGCUUAAAACUUGAACAUAUCAGAUUAAUUCAAAACACCAUACUAGUCCAUUCAUUUCAGUAUACAUACACAUAUUGACCUGUGAACUGUAUAAAACAAAAUGAAGCUAGAAUGUCAAAAAUGUAAAUCAGUAAACUGCUUUUGAUUAACACACAGGGAAUAUCACAUUCAGUAAGGUUCCAAUCUGCAAAGAAUGCUACAGCUU